GACGAACGCUGGCGGCGUGCUUAACACAUGCCAGUCGAACGAUGAAGAAAAGACUCGAAGCUUCGGCAGAAAUUCAUUUCGGAUUAGUGGCAGACGGGUGAGUAACGCGUGAGCAACCUACCUCUUACAAAGGGAUAGCCUCGGGAAACCGGGAUUAAUACCAUAUAACAUUGCGACGAAGCAUUUCGAUGCAAUCAAAGCUAUGGCGGUAAGAGAUGGGCUCGCGUCCCAUUAACCGGAUGGUGAGGUAACGGCUCACCAUAGUGACGAUGGGUAACCGGGCUGAGAGGGUGAACGGUCACACUGGAACUGAGACACGGUCCAGACUCCUACGGGAGGCAGCAGUGGGGAAUAUUGCACAAUGGAGGGAACUCUGAUGCAGCGACGCCGCGUGAGUGAUGAAGGAAUUCGUUUCGUAAAACUCUGUUCUAUGGGAAGAAAAGGACUGUACCAUAGGAGAAAGCUCCGGCUAAAUACGUG
rnacentral:rRNA from 1 species